UACGGGGGGAGCAAGCGUUGUUCGGAUUUACUGGGCGUAAAGGGCGCGUAGGCGGCCACCGCAAGUCGACUGUGAAAUCUCCGGGCUUAACCCGGAAAGGUCAGCCGAUACUGCGGGGCUAGAAUGCAGAAGGGGCAACUGGAAUUCUCGGUGUAGCGGUGAAAUGCGUAGAUAUCGAGAGGAACACCUGCGGCGAAGGCGGGUUGCUGGGCUGACACUGACGCUGAGGCGCGAAAGCUAGGGGAGCGAACGGG
rnacentral:rRNA from 1 species